GCUGGGUGCAGUGGUGCAUGCUUGUAAUCCCAGCAGCUCAGGAGGCUGAGACAGGAGAAUCUCAGGUUCAAAACCAGCCUCAGCAACUUAGUGGGGUGUUAAGAAACUCGGUGAGACCCAGUCUCUA
rnacentral:sRNA from 1 species